rnacentral:lncRNA from 1 species
UUCAAAGAAUAAAUGUGAGAAUGUUUCUAAGUGUUGGCAACAAAAGACACAAUCAGGGAGGACAGUGAUUCCAAAUUUCUGCAAUCACUCAACUGUUGCUAGUCGUUUCUGUAUAGCCAACCAUAGAAUGAAUUUAUAUCUAGGAUGUAUCUUUGUAUGUAAAGCAAGAUGUUUCCAGGCUACUUUGGGAUGAACAUGCAUUAAAUUUACAUACAUCUUCCGGAUUGAAAAUCUAUCCCUAAGUUGGGCUUUAACAAGUUGUUGUUGAAUUGUCCCAUGACUUCCUAGUCUGUUUAUUAACUGAUCUCUAGAUUCUAGUACCUUCCUCACAACCCAGGAAGGUAUCUUUGUCUGUUUGUAUCUUUGUCCCAACACCAGAUGUUUGUUUUGUUAAAGCAAUCAUAUAUCUUCCUUUUUUAUUUUCCUUCUGAAAAAAUUGGCACACUUAUGUAUUCAAUGAAAUGUUAAGUUUUGUAUUUCGUAAAGCAUCAAAAUAAUCAAUUUAAUGUUUUUUCUCAGGCUAACAUGAUCAAGAAGACUGGAACUACCAUAGUUGGCACAAAUAAAAAGAAGUGGGUAUGUUUGAAAAAACUACAAGAUCUUUCUUUUCUUUCAAAAGGAGGAAAAUUUCAUGUAUAUAAUUACUUCUUUUGCAUCAAUUCCUUAAUAUGUUUGUUUUUAGAAAAAUUCAAUUAGUCAUUUUUGAUAUCUCAAAUUUUUCUAGUUAACUAGGAUCUAAUUUCUAUUAUUAUAUAGUUAUAAAUUUUCUUAUGUGCAUUUCUUGUGCAGAAUUUUCAAGGAAAUUGAGGUCAAGUAUCGACUUCAACAUGCUCGACUUUCGGGUUGAUGAUUUUAUAAAGAUUUAUUGCAAAUUUAUUGGAGAUUUUAAUUUCAUUUGAAUUAGGAGUUUAAUUAGUUGGUUUUAUGUUGAGAUUAUUGCAUUUAGUUAGAUUUCAAUUUUACUUGAGAUAGAAAAGAUAAUUUGUUUUGACAUUAUUUUCUUUUACAGAAAAGUUAUUAUAUU